UGGGGAAUAUUGGACAAUGGGCGAAAGCCUGAUCCAGCCAUGCCGCGUGUGUGAAGAAGGCCUUUUGGUUGUAAAGCACUUUAAGCGAGGAGGAGGCUACUUAGAUUAAUACUCUAGGAUAGUGGACGUUACUCGCAGAAUAAGCACCGGCUAACUCUGUGCCAGCAGCCGCGGUAAUACAGAGGGUGCGAGCGUUAAUCGGAUUUACUGGGCGUAAAGCGUGCGUAGGCGGCUUUUUAAGUCGGAUGUGAAAUCCCUGAGCUUAACUUAGGAAUUGCAUUCGAUACUGGGAAGCUAGAGUAUGGGAGAGGAUGGUAGAAUUCCAGGUGUAGCGGUGAAAUGCGUAGAGAUCUGGAGGAAUACCGAUGGCGAAGGCAGCCAUCUGGCCUAAUACUGACGCUGAGGUACGAAAGCAUGGGGAGCAAACA
rnacentral:rRNA from 1 species